rnacentral:rRNA from 1 species
ACAGAGGAAGAGAUACACCCAAUUUCAUCUGAUCUUGGAAGCUAAGCAGGGUUGGGCCUGGUUAGUACUUGGACGGGAGAGGAAGAGAGAAAGGGCGGGCUUUUCUCCCUU